GUGGGGGAGGGUGGCUGUGCUGCACGCUCACUUUCUGCAGAUAAACAUGUUUCUGUGUAUCUGAGCACGUAUGUUCAUGGAGUCUCUCUGUGUGUCCUGAACCACAGCCAUGUUCUGAUCCUCGUCAUAUUUCCAUAUUUGGGCUUUAGACGCUGCAGAGACCCAGUGACCCGGUAAAAAGUGGGGCAGGCUGCGGCUGUUUUCUUUGUUUGGGCGGAGACGCGCCAGCAGGCAGCGAGCUCUGCUGCAGAGAUGAUCAGAGGAACUGGGUUCAUAUUGUUUUCUUACUUUAUUUUUAUACUUUUACUUUUAUUUUUCUUAUGACUGAUUAUUAAAAAUAUAACAAUUUAAACAAUAAGUUUAACUAAAUAUUUGUCCAAAUUAUAAAGAAUGAAGGAAAUAAAGUCCAAACAAAGAAACUAGAAGUUGUGUUUUGAUGUGAAAGGAGUGUUAGCUUGAUGACGGAUCAGAACCGAAUAUAUGACACAGAUUACUGUAAUCAGUGUGUCACAGUAACCGCCUCAGUGACCCGGAGAAUCUGACAUGGAUCCAUUUCAUCACUGCGGGAAAACAGUUCGAACUGGUUCUGGAGGGAGUCAGAAAACCCUAGAAAAACCAGUGAAACCAGGAAAACCAUUAAAACCCCUGAAACCAGUGAGACCAGUAAACCAGUUUCUUCUUCCAAAACAAUUUAUUUAUUUGUUGUUUUUCAUCACAUUUAGUUUUUCUACCUGAUGUUGAAUAAUUUACUGAUAUUUACAACUUGUGAUGUUUCCAUGACGACGUCUAAAGGAAACCUUUGUGCUCAUUGUGGUUUAAUGUUUUCUGUUCUCUGGAUGUUUAGUUGAAUUACUUCAGAGACCUAUUUUGGUUCUGGUAGCAUUAGAACCCAAUUAACUCUUCUCUCCAUUCUAAGCUCAGUAAUAAGACUUGGAUAAUUGUUUUCUACCAGAGACGUAAUAAUCAGGUGAUCUUCAGGUCAUUAGAGACACACGAAGAAGCAAUAAAGCAACAAUGAGGAACAAACUUCCAUCAUUUUAGAUCAACUCUUUAUGGGAAACAUUUGUAUGAUAUUCAGUUUUAUUAACAGUACAAGUUAAUCUAUAUUUCAACAUUUUUUUCCACUGAAUGAAACCUUCUCUCAUCUUUUCCACUACCUGAAUAUUUGUUUUGCUUAUAUUUCCAUGGUCAUAAGGAAGAUUUUUUUAAUAACAAAAAAUCUGAUAUUUUUUAUUCAAUCUGUUACCAACUGACACUUUAUUCUACUAAAUUUACAUUUAUUAUAUGUUAAUCUGAUAAGAAUAAGUUAAGUGAUGUUAAUCAAGUCAAUCAUUUAUUAAAUUUAGUGCAUCCAGUUAUUUGGAGGCUCUGAUUUAUUGUUAUUCUGGACAAACUGUUUAUAUUUUCCUGUAAUAUUAAUUAUUAACAACGCUGACAUUUUUUACCCUAAAUUAACUCAUUGCAACCAGAGUUUUUCAGCAUUAUUAACAUAACUUUCCUGUUUUCUGUAGUUGUUCCCUGAAGGUCAGACUGACUGAUCCAGUGUCUUCUGAUUCAGAUGUGUUCAGUUAUUAAAACAUCCGGUUCUGUUGCUGAAGAUGUGAAGAUGUUAGAUUUGGUUGCAGGAGAUAAACCUGUCAUUUUUAUUGGUUGCUGGUUGAUCAUCUGGCAGAAGUUGCUGCUGAGUGAGUCUGCAGCUCAUCAGAGAGAAGAUCACGGGGAUCUCGAACUCUGACCCACAGAUACAGAGACAGAAACCCAGGAAGUGGCGUGAAGAUGAACUCAGCAGGCAGAGGUCUGCUCUAAUGGAGACUGACAGCUUCAGCUCCAUUGGACCAUCAGGAGAAGUGUAACCCAGAUAAAUCAGGUGAACUAUCUGCAGGUUCAGGUGAAUAAAACAUAGAUUUGUAGAUUUAACGUUGAGUUUUUUUCACCCUGAUGCACUUGGCCACAGCAUUGAUGAUGCUGAUAUCUGCUGGCAGGACCUCCUGAAAUGAUUCUUCCAGCUGCCAAUCAUCAUGUCUUCCCAUCCAUAAACUCUUCAUUCCUCCUCCGUCUCACCCUCAGCUGUGUCUCUGGGAGAUCUUUAAAGGAACAGCAGCAGAUUAACGGCUCUGCUCACCAAACAGAACUUCACCUGCAGGAUAAUCCAAACCUUCUGGCUUCAUGAAUAAAUAACUGCCUGGAAAACUCCUGUCAGAGAGGAGAAGACAACGAGGCAGGAAUCAAUAGUUGAGCACAUUAAAGCUCCUGGCUCGGAAUUAGAAGGAUUGAUGACAGAGACAGUAAAUAUGAGCUGAUCAGACACACCAAAGAUCAACUGAUUCCUUCCUGAAAACCUGUGUUCUGCCUUCAGUGAUGCUUCAAUAAACUUUAAGGUUGAAAUGAUGUUUUGUGCUGAGCAGAACUUUUCAAACUCUCAGUUUUAUGAGAGUUUGGAGGCUCUGCCCUCCACUCCUUUUUCAGUGCAUUAAAAUAAAGAUUUGUACAAGUUUUUUACUCAGUUUGAACAUGAAAUAUUUUUCAUUUUUGCUGUAAUAUUUAUAGUUUUACAUUUCUGCAUUAGGUUUAUACAUUUAGUUUUUAAGAAUUUAUCAUCGUAUAUUUUUACAUAUUUAUUUAGAAAUGACCCAAACGACCCAGACUAACUGUCCUCUAGAACUUAUCUGGUGCUGAUCUGGUACUGAUCUAGAACUGAUCUGGUAUUAAUUGUGUGACAGACUAACCCUGAUGAAAGUCAUCAACCCUUUUCUGUUUCUGUGAAUUUCUUUAACCUCAGCAGAGAUGUCAGCAAACAGAACCAGAAACAUCAGAGGAACCCAAAGGGACCAGUUUUCCAUCUCAGGCCCACUCUGCUUUGCAGAAUUGUUUUAAUUUAGACAGAUUGAAUUAAAAGAAUACUACGUCUGAAUUCUGACCGGACCAUCACACCACCACCAUCGUGUUUAACUGUAGGUAUGAGGUUCUGUUCCUGUGUUAAUUUUACACCAGAUGUAACGAGUCACACCUUCCAGAAAGGUCCAGUUUUGUCCCCUCAGUCCACAGAAUAGUUUCCCAGAAGUCUCAGAGAUCACGAGGUUGUUUUUGCUAAAUGUGAGACAAGGCUUUGUGUUCUUUUUGGGUCAGCAGUGGUUCUGGCCUUCGAACUCUCCCAUUGUGGCAAUGUUUGCCCAGACUGUCCUUCUUAUUGCUCAACCAUGACCUCUGAGAUCUAGAAGCCUACUUCAUGUUGUCAGACAGGAUCUAUUUAAAUGAAUUCUUGGUUCUAAAGGUUUUUGACUAAUCAGGUCUGGUGUCGGUUCAUAAAACAGACCCAAAACUAAGCAAAUGCUGUUUCGUAGUAUGUAGUUUAAACAUAAAAAAAUAAAUACAUUUUUACAUGUAUCAAUUUUUUACCGUAACUCUUUAUUCUAACAUUUAAACCCCAUUUUAACCUGAAUCUCACGUUCCUCUAACCUCCAACCUCCCUGUGGGAAACACAGAAACUGAUGAGUGUUGGGUUUCAUGAUGUUGUGAUGAAGCAGAACCAGUGGACAUCAGUUUUUAACGACAGCAGACAUCAUCGGGAGUCAAAGAUAAAUGAUGAGAGGAAGAUUUUCACCUUUCUGCACCAGCCGCCAACACUCUGUAACAGUAAACGUUACAGUAAAGUACUGCUGGCAGAUAAUUUACAGUUUCCUGAUGUUAACUACGUGCAGCGACAUUUCAUUCACCUGAAGCAACAUUUAGCAGCAAAGUGACCCUGAGAACCUGCCGGAUCAGAACCCAAAGGGAUUCAAGUUGGUUUCGUUUUAAAGUCAUCAGAUCCAGAAGCUGAAUAAAUGCAUCACAGUUCAACUAAAGAGCUGCUUCAGUCAAAUAUUACAUCCCAUACAAUGAGUACAAAUAAAUUAAUCCACUAAUAUUAUAAGAAACAUUUCAUUUAUUGGGGACAAUUUCUCAAUUCUGAUCUUAAGUCUUAAGUAAAUAUUAGUGUCUAAAACGAGCUUUACUACACUGUAAAAAUCUAUUUAGCAAUAAAUACACUGAAGACCAGAAAUAUUUCUGACAUAAAUCUCCCCUGCUGGAUAUAAAAGACAGGAAAUAAAUGUGUCCGACUGCAUCUAGAGCCGUUCUGAUCAGAUGAUGUUCAGGCUAACAUUGUAAAUAAGACACUGUUCUUAAUGUUUUGCCUGGUGAAAUAAAGGUUGAAUUAUGAAGCAGCUUAAAGCUGCAGGUUGAAGAGAAGCUGUUAUUUCUCUGAGAGAUGGAGAACAUGAACCACUCCCUCCUUCAGAGGAGCAGCGCAGCGAGACACCGUGGUGAUGAUGAUGAUGAUGAUGAUGUCAUCCUCAGACUGAAGCUCCAUCAAACGGAGAAAACGGGCGGCGCUGCCAGGACUCAGUGCUGCUCCACAGACAGGAGAAGAAAGCUGG